AAGCUGAGGCCGACAGUGGNGCGAUGGAUAACAGGUUGAUAUUCCUGUACCACCUAUAAUCGUUUUAAUCGAUGGGGGGACGCAUAGGAUAGGCGACGUGUCGAUUGGAUUGCACGUCUAAGCAGUAAGGCUGAGUAUUAGGCAAAUCCGGUACUCGUUAAGGCUGAGCUGUGAUGGGGAGAAGACAUUGUGUCUUCGAGGUCGUUGAUUUCACACUGCCGAGAAAAGCCUCUAGAUAGAAAAUAGGUGCCCGUACCGCAAACCGACACAGGUAGUCAAGAUGAGAAUUCUAAGGUGAGCGAGCGAACUCUCGUUAAGGAACUCGGCAAAAUGACCCCGUAACUUCGGGAGAAGGGGUGCUCUUUAGGGUUAACGCCCAGAAGAGCCGCAGUGAAUAGGCCCAAGCGACUGUUUAUCAAAAACACAGGUCUCUGCUAAACCGUAAGUGANUGUAUAGGGGCUGACGCCUGCCCGGUGCUGGAAGGUUAAGAGGAGUGGUUAGCUUCUGCGAACUACGAAUCGAAGCCCCAGUAAACGGCGGCCGUAACUAUAACGGUCCUAAGGUAGCGAAAUUCCUUGUCGGGUAAGUUCCGACCCGCACGAAAGGCGUAACGAUUUGGGCACUGUCUCAACGAGAGACUCGGUGAAAUCAUAGUACCUGUGAAGAUGCAGGUUACCCGCGACAGGACGGAAAGACCCCGUGGAGCUUUACUGUAGCCUGAUAUUGAAAUUCGGCACAGCUUGUACAGGAUAGGUAGGAGCCUUUGAAACGUGAGCGCUACUUACGUGGAGGCGCUGGUGGGAUACUACCCUAGCUGUGUUGGCUUUCUAACCCGCACCACUUAUCGUGGUGGGAGACAGUGUCAGGCGGGCAGUUUGACUGGGGCGGUCGCCUCCUAAAAGGUAACGGAGGCGCUCAAAGGUUCCCUCAGAAUGGUUGGAAAUCAUUCAUAGAGUGUAAAGGCAUAAGGGAGCUUGACUGCGAGACCUACAAGUCGAGCAGGGUCGAAAGACGGACUUAGUGAUCCGGUGGUUCCGCAUGGAAGGGCCAUCGCUCAACGGAUAAAAGCUACCCCGGGGAUAACAGGCUUAUCUCCCCCAAGAGUUCACAUCGACGGGGAGGUUUGGCACCUCGAUGUCGGCUCAUCGCAUCCUGGGGCUGUAGUCGGUCCCAAGGGUUGGGCUGUUCGCCCAUUAAAGCGGUACRMGGCUGGGUUCAGAACGUCGUGAGACAGUUCGGUCCCUAUCCGUCGUGGGCGUAGGAAAUUUGAGAGGAGCUGUCCUUAGUACGAGAGGACCGGGAUGGACAUACCUCUGGUGUACCAGUUGUCGUGCCAACGCAUNAGCUGGGUAGCUAUGUGUGGACGGGAUAAGUGCUGAAACAUNCUNAAGCAUGAAGCCCCCCUCAAGAUGAGAUUUCCCAACUUCGGUUAUAAGAUCCCUCAAAGAUGAUGAGGUUAAUAGGUUCGAGGUGGAAGCAUGGUGACAUGUGGGAGCUGACGAAUACUAAUCGAUCGAAGACUUAAUCAA
rnacentral:rRNA from 1 species